rnacentral:rRNA from 1 species
CCUACGGGGGACAGCAGUGGGGGAUAUUGCACAAUGGGGGAAACCCUGAUGCAGCGACGCCGCGUGGGCGAAGAAGUAUUUCGGUAUGUAAAGCCCUAUCAGCAGGGAAGAAGAAAUGACGGUACCUGAGUAAGAAGCACCGGCUAAAUACGUGCCAGCAGCCGCGGUAAUACGUAUGGUGCAAGCGUUAUCCGGAUUUACUGGGUGUAAAGGGAGCGCAGGCGGCACGGCAAGCCUGAUGUGAAAGCCCGCGGCCCAACCGCGGGACUGCAUUGGGAACUACCGGGCUGGAGUGCCGGAGAGGUAGGCGGAAUUCCUAGUGUAGCGGUGAAAUGCGUAGAUAUUAGGAGGAACACCAGUGGCGAAGGCGGCUUACUGGACUGUAACUGACGUUGAGGCUCGAAAGCGUGGGGAGCAAACAGGAUUAGAUACCCCAGUAGUC